CUUCAUUUCUUUAUAUAGGUAGGUCAUUGACAGGCUUGGGAGUAGGGAUCAUAUCAUUCACUGUGCCUGUGUAUAUUGCUGAGAUAGCUCCUAAGCACUUGCGUGGAGGUCUUGGUACAGUCAACAUGCUUUCCAUAACGAUUGGUAUAUUCGUGGCAUAUCUAUUGGGAAUGUUCAUUUCCUGGAGGCAUCUUGCAAUUGCAGGUGCAGUUCCCUGUAGUUUAUUGGUUCUUGGGCUUUUUUUAAUCCCAGAAGCUCCAAGAUGGCUGGUAACAUUCAAUGAAAUUAGAUUCUAUAUAUUAAUGUGGUGUUAAAUAAAUUGAUGCUUUCCACCAUUGCUAAAACUU